CUAAGUUUGAUGGCGACCGGCGCACGGGUGAGUAACACGUACCCAACCUGCCGAUGACUCGGGGAUAGCCUUUCGAAAGAAAGAUUAAUACCCGAUGGCAUAGUUCUUCCGCAUGGUAGAACUAUUAAAGAAUUUCGGUCAUCGAUGGGGAUGCGUUCCAUUAGGUUGUUGGCGGGGUAACGGCCCACCAAGCCUUCGAUGGAUAGGGGUUCUGAGAGGAAGGUCCCCCACAUUGGAACUGAGACACGGUCCAA
rnacentral:rRNA from 1 species